rnacentral:rRNA from 1 species
GGAGGGUCCAAGCGUUGUUCGGAAUCACUGGGCGUAAAGCGCGUGUAGGCGGCUUGGCAAGUCGGGUGUGAAAUCCCGGGGCUCAACCCCGGAACUGCACCCGAAACUGCCUCGCUAGAGUCCCGGAGAGGAUGGCGGAAUUUCCGGUGUAGAGGUGAAAUUCGUAGAUAUCGGAAGGAACACCAGUGGCGAAGGCGGCCAUCUGGACGGUGACUGACGCUGAGACGCGAAAGCGUGGGGAGCAAGCAGGGAUUAGAUACCCUGGUAGUCCACGCCGUAAACGUUGAGUGCUAGACGUCGGGGGUAUUGACCCCUCCGGUGUCGAAGCUAACGCAUUAAGCACUCCGCCUGGGGGAGUGCGGUCGCAAGACUA